UUCAGUGUAUAGAGCAUUUACCGAAAAACUCAAUAUUUUUGUAGGAGUUAAUAUAUAGAUUUUGAGAAAAAUUCCAAAUCAUGACAAUUAUGUUUUAAUGCAUAUUUGCAUCUUUCACUAACAUAUGAUAAAGGUCAAAGAGAUUUGGAAACUUUGUUAUCUUCGUUUCUCUAGAGAAUAGCGAUUUUAUAGUGGUUAGUCCACCAAUUUAUAGAGUGUUAUAAAGUUUUACUAAAUUAAUUGAUAAAAAGUUUAAACGAUGCCUAUGUACCAUGAAAGAGAGUUUAAUAUACAUUAAUAAAAAUGUAGAAUGUGUUUAAAAUUUUUUUUUUUUUUUUUUUUUUUUUUGACUCAAACUUCAACUUUCAUUCACCACCACUGUUUUCAUACAUUGUUUUAUCAGACAUAACCUGAAAUUUCAACCAGAUAGGCACAACAGAAUAUAACUUAGGGACAAUAGACACAAAAGUGUAAGUCUCCUUUGCUAUCCUGUCUGCAACCUUAUUCCCUCCUCUUGGGUAAAAACACACCUGAAAGAACUGAACUUGUGACAAUAAUCUGCGAGUCUCCUCCACUAUAGGCUGCAGUAUCGGCCACACUUCCUCUUGGCCACUUAUCAUCCUCACUAAAGUUUGGGAAUCUGAUUCAAAAAUAACAUACUUGUAGCCAAGAGAAACUAUGUUCUGUACUGCCCAUUUAAGAGCUUCCGCUUCUGUGACGAUGGUGGAGACUGCUCUUGUCACCGCUUUUGCCCCAGCCCACAACACAUUACCCUUUUCAUUUCUUAAGACCCACCCCAACCCACUGUUAACUCUAUUGUGGUUCCGUGCUCCAUCGCUGUUGCAUUUCAGCCAGUUGGCG
rnacentral:lncRNA from 1 species